AAUUUUGAUCUGGAAUCAGGUAGGAUUACCCGCUGAACUUAA
rnacentral:rRNA from 1 species